UAGGGAAUCUUCCGCAAUGGGCGAAAGCCUGACGGAGCAACGCCGCGUGAGUGAUGAAGGUCUUCGGAUCGUAAAACUCUGUUAUUAGGGAAGAACAAAUGUGUAAGUAACUAUGCACGUCUUGACGGUACCUAAUCAGAAAGCCACGGCUAACUACGUGCCAGCAGCCGCGGUAAUACGUAGGUGGCAAGCGUUAUCCGGAAUUAUUGGGCGUAAAGCGCGCGUAGGCGGUUUUUUAAGUCUGAUGUGAAAGCCCACGGCUCAACCGUGGAAGGUCAUUGGAAACUGGAAAACUUGAGUGCAGAAGAGGAAAGUGGAAUUCCAGGUGUAGCGGUGAAAUGCGCAGAGAUAUGGAGGAACACCAGUGGCGAAGGCGACUUUCUGGUCUGUAUCUGACGCUGAUGUGCGAAAGCGUGGGGAUCAAACAGG
rnacentral:rRNA from 1 species